rnacentral:rRNA from 1 species
UACGGAGGGAGCUAGCGUUGUUCGGAAUUACUGGGCGUAAAGCGCACGUAGGCGGACUGUUAAGUCGGGGGUGAAAUCCCGGGGCUCAACCCCGGAAUGGCCUUCGAUACUGGCGGUCUUGAGGUCUGGAGAGGUGAGUGGAAGUCCGAGUGUAGAGGUGAAAUUCGUAGAUAUUCGGAGGAACACCAGUGGCGAAGGCGGCUCACUGGGCAGAUACUGACGCUGAGGUGCGAAAGCGUGGGGAGCAAACAGG